AUUGAACGCUAGCGGGAUGCUUUACACAUGCAAGUCGAACGAGUGGCGGACGGGUGAGUAAUAUAUCGGAACGUGCCCAGUAGCGGGGGAUAACUACUGGAAACGGUAGCUAAUACCGCAUACCAUCGGAUGUGCCCAGAUGGGAUUAGCUAGUAGGUGGGGUAAAGGCUCACCUAGGCGACGAUCCCUAGCUGGUCUGAGAGGAUGACCAGCCACACUGGAACUGAGACACGGUCCAGACUCCUACGGGAGGCAGCAGUGGGGAAUAUUGCACAAUGGGCGCAAGCCUGAUGCAGCCAUGCCGCGUGUAUGAUGAAGGCCUUCGGGUUGUAAAGUACUUUCAGUCGGGAGGCGUUACCGACAGAAGAAGCACCGGCUAACUCCGUGCCAGCAGCCGCGGUAAUAC
rnacentral:rRNA from 1 species